UACGGAGGGUGCAAGCGUUAUCCGGAUUUACUGGGUUUAAAGGGUGCGUAGGCGGGUCUUUAAGUCAGUGGUGAAAUCCUCCCGCUUAACGGGAGAACUGCCAUUGAUACUAUUGAUCUUGAAUUCAGUUGAGGUGGGCGGAAUGUGUCGUGUAGCGGUGAAAUGCUUAGAUAUGACACAGAACACCGAUUGCGAAGGCAGCUCGCUAAACUGACAUUGACGCUGAGGCACGAAAGCGUGGGGAUCAAACAGG
rnacentral:rRNA from 2 species